GAUGAACGCUGGCGGCGUGCUUAACACAUGCAAGUCGAACGAAGCACUUUAUUUGAUUUCCUUCGGGACUGAUUAUUUUGUGACUGAGUGCCGGACGGGUGAGUAACACGGGGGUAACAUGCCUUGUACAGGGGGAUAACAGCUGGAAACGGCUGCUAAUACCGCAUAAGCGCACAGCAUCGCCAGAUGCAGUGUUAAAACCUCCGGUGGUAUAAGAGGGAGCCGGGUUGGAUUCGCCAGAGGGGGAGGUCACGGCCCCCCAAGGCGAGGAUCUAUAGCCGAGCUGUGAGGGUGACCGGACACAUUGGCGCUGAGACGCGGCCCGAACUACUACGGGAGGCAGCAGUGGGGAAUAUUGCACAAUGGGCGGUAGCAUGAUGCAGCGACGACGCGUGAGCGAAGAAGUAUUGCGGUAUGUAAAGCUCGAUCAGAAGGGAAGAUAAUGACGGUACCUGAAUAAGAAGCACCGGCUAAAUACGUG
rnacentral:rRNA from 1 species